UGUAACAUAAUAUGUCUCAUAUGUUUAUCUACAUCUUGUGACAGUUGCUGGUGAAUAAUAGGACAGCAAGCGCCAGUGAAAUAGUUGCUUCAGCACUUCAUGACAAUUGCAAAGCUGUUCUUGUUGGCGAAAGGACUUUUGGCAAGGGUUUAAUCCAAUCUGUAUUUGAACUUCAUGAUGGUUCUGGUAUUGUCGUCACAGUUGGCAAAUACAUGACACCAAACCACAAGGAUAUCAAUGGGAAUGGAAUAGAACCGGAUUACAAUCGUCUUCCUGAUUUCAAUGAAGCCAGAGGUUACCUUUCACGAUGCGGAAUUAAAGAAUUAAGCUGACAGACGUUUGCGGCAGAUUUCAAUGAAGCAUUAUAUUCUGAAGGUUCUCUCACGGGCCAGACGACCUAAUAUGAUAGAAUUGAUAUGGAACAAAUAAAGCUGAUGAUCUGCCUGACUACUACACGACCCUCCAUGUCGCGCGCGCUGAUACGAUAAGCAGCGUAUCGGCGAGCGUCGAUACAGCCUCUACAGCACAGGGCGAGCAUGUUGCUGGUGGCCUCUGCGGCAUGGUGCAAGAAAUAGAGUACACGUGGCGCU